rnacentral:lncRNA from 1 species
AUGAUAGAAUGUUGCUUACACUAUUAUGUUUUCCUUACAGUGUUUAGUUGAUUGCGUGUCUCAAGAUGAACGAUGUCCAUACCCUGAUUGUUCAGUAGAAAUUGGUUGCACAUCUGACGAAAUAGUACAUUUUAAAGAAUUACUUUUUAAAAUGUUCACUGAAUAUGAAGAAAUAUACACAGAGAGUAGUGGUACAGGCCGUGACGAGAACUAUGUUAAUGUAGCAGUUUUGACAGGGGAAUUGACUAGAAUUCCUUUCACACUAAGCAUGACAGUUUUGAACUUAAAAGAACAAAUCCGGAAACGCCUGAACCAUGAGACGUCUAAACAAAAAUUGAUAUACAGAGGAAAAGAAAUGACUGUAAGUAUGUUUUAAUGUGCUCGUGCUUGGCUCUGCAAAAAGAAAUUUAUAUCAGCCAAAAAGUAUUAAAAAAAA